GCGGGUAUAUAUUAAAGGUAAAUUGUAUGCCUUCCAAGCAUGAGAUAUGAGUUCAAUUCUCAUUACCCGCU
rnacentral:tRNA from 1 species